CCUACGGGUGGCAGCAGUGGGGAAUAUUGGACAAUGGGCGAAAGCCUGAUCCAGCCAUGCCGCGUGUGUGAAGAAGGCCUUCGGGUUGUAAAGCACUUUCAGUGGGGAAGAAAGCCUUGGGGCUAAUACCCUCGAGGAAGGACAUCACCCACAGAAGAAGCACCGGCUAACUCCGUGCCAGCAGCCGCGGUAAUACGGAGGGUGCGAGCGUUAAUCGGAAUUACUGGGCGUAAAGCGCGCGUAGGCGGUCUGAUAAGCCGGUUGUGAAAGCCCCGGGCUCAACCUGGGAACGGCAUCCGGAACUGUCAGACUAGAGUGCAGGAGAGGAAGGUAGAAUUCCCGGUGUAGCAGUGAAAUGCGUAGAGAUCGGGAGGAAUACCAGUGGCGAAGGCGGCCUUCUGGACUGACACUGACGCUGAGGUGCGAAAGCGUGGGUAGCAAACAGGAUUAGAUACCCUGGUAGUC
rnacentral:rRNA from 1 species